AGAUCUUAGGCUAGGGAGGAUCUCGGUUGGAGCUUUCGUUGCCGACGUCGCGCCGCGGAGCCGUCCGGGGAUACGGUUGCUGCCGUUACAACGCGAGGAGGCCGGGCGAGCGGAGGUUUUCAUCGUUUUUGCUGUCGCAGCAGUGCCCGGUGUUGUCGAGGUGAGUGUCUGUUGGAGGAAAAAUUCUAAAAUGCAACGAGUAUAUUAGUGACGUGGCGUAACAAACCAAUCAAAUUAAUCCUUUUAAGAAUAUAUGUCCCAUCAUGAUUGUAAAAAAGUAUUUUUAUUGUACUUUUGUUUAAAAAAAGGAAUGUGAUUGGCUUGUUAUUGAUGAUGUGGUGCAAGUGUGACAGUGUAGAAUUCCUCCUGUUGGAGUGGCUUCGAUUAAUCCGGGUAUCACCGAAUUAGAGCUUAAGUGCUGUUUUCGCAGAAUUUCACCGUCGACUGUUUGUAUUUUUGGCUCGUUCUCGACGUAGGAGCAUCGGAUUGCGACGAGACUUGGUUCGUUGGAUUCAGGACUGCGAGAGGAAUCCACGAAGCCCUUACUUGCUGGAUUUGGUGAAGGUUAGCUUGGUCGAAUCCCUGUUGUACCUCACUGCUGAAAUUCGGGACUGAAACGGUGAUUUAUUGUCGUGUAGAGCUCGAGCGUGGACGAUUUCUGGACUCGGAGCUGUGCGUGUGAUCCAGCAAGUUGCUCGACACCAGUGGGAGUCCUUCGC
rnacentral:lncRNA from 1 species